rnacentral:rRNA from 1 species
AUGGAGAGCGUUGACCACCACGACAAAGCCGCCACCCGCCUGUCCCUUUCCCCUCCCCAUCCGCCGGCACCGCUCUCCCUGACGCCAUCGCCCAACUCGGCGGCGCUGGUGAACACGCACUGGGUGCCGACCAGGGAGCAGCUCGCCGUGCUGGAGGGGCUGUACCGUCAGGGGAUGCGCACCCCCACCGCCGAGGAGAUACAUCAGGUGAUGGCGAGGCUGCAGGAGCACGGCCCCAUCGAUGGUAAGAACGUCUUCCACUGGUUCCAGAACCAGCAGGUCCGGCUGCGCCAGAGGGAGAAGCGGCAGCGAUCUGACUACUUCGCCAGGCAGUUCCGCCGCCCCCAUCCGCUACCCGUGCUCCACAGCCCCUCUGGCCACCCCAUCUCCCCGGUCCAACUCCAGGCGCCGCCGGCGCCGAACACUCCUACAUGCAAUGGAGAAGCGAUGUACAUGCAGCAGCCAUGCUACAUGUCAGGGCCAGCAGCGCAGCCCGCGGCUAAUGCAACCUACUACUCACAGAUGCAGCCGCCGAUAAUGUAUCCAAGUGUGGAGAUGAUGGGGCAUGGCAAUGUACAUGCACAGGCGCAUGCUGCCAUGUACUACCAGGCAGCAUCUCCGAACAACUCCAACACUCAACAAAUAUGUGUGCUCGAGUUGCCCCCAGCCGCCGGCAGCUACGAUACCCCCGACGCGUACUCCCACAGCCCCGUGCUUCUGAAUCUGUUCCCACAGUACCCCACCUUUGCAAAUCGCAAGAAGACCCGCCGCGUCGGGAGCGUUGGCUCCGCGAGGCCAUCGACCUCUAGGUCGAUCUCUUGGGAGACGGAGAGUCCCAAGAUCCCCAACAGACACAUUGUUGUCAAUCUAUGA